GAUGAACGCUAGCGGCAGGCCUAACACAUGCAAGUCGAGGGAGAGGUUACCUUCGGGUAACCAAAACCGGCGCACGGGUGCGUAACGCGUAUACAAUCUGCCUUUCACAUAGGGAUAGCCCGAAGAAAUUUGGAUUAAUACCUAAUGGUAUAUAAGAGCGGCAUCGUUUUUAUAUUAAAGCUACGGUGGUGAAAGAUGAGUAUGCGUUCUAUUAGCUAGUUGGAGAGGUAACGGCUCCCCAAGGCGACGAUAGAUAGGGGUUCUGAGAGGGAUGUCCCCCACACUGGUACUGAGAUACGGACCAGACUCCUACGGGAGGCAGCAGUGAGGAAUAUUGGACGAUGGUCGGAAGACUGAUCCAGCCAUGCCGCGUGCAGGAUGAAGGUCCUAUGGAUUGUAAACUGCUUUUGUAAGGGAAGAAUAAGGAGUACGUGUACUUUGAUGACGGUACCUUACGAAUAAGCAGCGGCUAACUCCGUG
rnacentral:rRNA from 1 species